AGAACACCGUCGUGGAGAAGAAGGGUGUGCUCAACCCCACAAAUCCCGCUUUCCACUUUGAAAUCGAAGCUAUGCAAUUAACCCAUUCAUUGAAGGGUCCAAGUCCCUGGGACAUACACGUCACAGACAGGCUGUUCCUGACCCUCUGGGCAUCAGCAUUUAAAGAAGAGUCUUAACUGGUCCUAAGCCUCCUUUCACUCUGUAAUAAAACCCAGGGCCUCUUACUUGAAAUCCAGAAGUCUUCACAACGUGCAUGGCCCCGUGGUAUUACCGACAGAUGGCUGCUAAAAUCCCAAUGAGCUUGGGUUUCCUAAGGAGAAGAACUUGGCCUGGUCAGAAUUAUCACCAAAUACAUCACCAAUUGGCUUUCAAAAAGCAAACAAUAUGCAAAGGAUGUCACGAGGAAAGUGAAAUGACAACCCACAGAAUGGAGAAAAGAAAAUCAGCAAUGCUGAGCUGAUGAAGCAGAGGAAAAAACAAGUCAAAACACACUGACAGCAUUUUGAAGAUAUUCAGUGAAAUCAAUUCUCCGCUUCUAUCUUCCCUAGUUAGUCAGCAGCCUCCUCCUUAGAUUUAUUUCUCCUCUAUUCAAAGAUAAUUACUUAGCAACUUUGCUGUAUACCGCUCCAAGACAACAUCCUUGGCAGAGCUCUUUACUGUAGGGGUAUCAAAGAGAAUAUUCUAGAAACCACCCAUUUACCAAACUUCUGCUACAAGACACGGCUCAAAUUUCACUUCGACCAGGAAGUGUUUCCUCCCUGCCUCCAGGUAUCUCUUUGUUCAAACCUCCCUCCACCCUGGGGUAAGCACUUCGCACAACCGCCAUUGGCUCCCAGGCCACCACUUGGCACCUGGACAAGUCUCCCUCCUCCAAACCCAGGCCUGGGCCUCGGCAUAGCCUUGAGGAAGAAGAAACGACUAAAACCUAGUGGAAAUCCAAACACAUAAAAAGGAACUGUAAGCGAUUAGACAAGUAUAGUUAAACGUGAGGCCAAGUCAAACAAGCCGUGUUUGAAACUGAGAACAGGAGUCCUUCGCAAGCUUCUUAAAAUAAAAUAAAAGCUGGGAGACUGAAGAAAUGCAGAGAGGGGUUGGAGACACGGGCCGGCCUCUGUAACAGAUUCCCUCUCCCAGGGAAACCUUAUUCCAGCGUUUCAUAGGUGGCAUUCGCCACACAAAGGAGUUUAUUUAUACUGUUGCUUAAAACUCCCCACAAAUGGGGUUAUUCAUUAUCCCCACUUUACAGACGCGAAAACUGAGACGCAGGGAGAUGAAGUAGCUCGGCGUAUAUUCCCCAGAUUGAGUGACGCUGAGAGGGCAUCGGAACCCGGGUUCCUUUGACCUCAGCGCCCAGGCUCUUAAGCUCUGCUCCAGCUCGAACAAAGUGCGCGCCAAGUCAACA
rnacentral:lncRNA from 1 species